GCUCCCUGUGGUGUAACACAGGUUCUCCUAUAGCCCCAAAACCAGAGUCCAACCUUCUAUUCACAGCUCAAAAUUUACACUUUUGCUGUUGCCAGCUUCAGUUUCUCAUUAUUUGCCUCAUCCCAUGCAUUCAAGAGGACUGUGUUCAUACGGCUUAUUUGGUGGUGAAAAACAAAUCCAACUCUCUACAAACAAACACACAAAGACACCCCGGGUGGACACCAUAUAAACACUAAUAUAUUUCUAAUUCAAGCUUUGAGAAAACAAAGGCACAGUGAUUAAAGGCUGGAAACAUGCAGCCAGUGUAUGGAGACUGAGCAAGUGCCCUAGAACAAGUUGAAUGUUUCCAUUUUGUGAAGCUCAUUCACUAUAGUUAUAAGAUGCAGGGCAGACAUUUGCAUUUCUAGAGUGGUAUCUUGACUUUUUUAGAUUAUUCAUGGGAUCCAGAUCCUUUCUAAAUGGCAUCAAGCUCACAUUUCUUGAUAAUCUGCCUCUCUUUCUUUCAGUACUCUGCCUCUUUUCUUCUCCUCUCCAUGAACGUCAUUAAAGUUUGUAUUCCAUGUGUCUAGAACUCAGGGGCUUCUCAUUUUUGUUUAAAAGGGCACUGCUUCCUAUGACCAAGCACUGCAAAAAGAGAUACAACUGCAUGCAAUCAGAAAAACUAAGAAUAAAUUAAUUUAUUGUAUCCAGUUUCAAAGCUGCUGCCUCCUAAUUCACAUUCCCUAUUCCCCAUUCCUCCCAACAGACCCAACCCAAAGCCUACCCCAACAUUUCUUUGAUUUUUUCCCUCCUUCACCCCAGCCUAAAAUCAAAUUUGGAAAUGCACAUCUUCUUUGGAGUGGCAGGAAGAGCCAGCAGUACAAUAAACCAAGCCAAAUGCUCCCCCUCCUUUUUUUCCUAGAUAACACAGAAUCCUCCUGAAAUGAACAAAUGUAACUGAACAGAUACAGACUUCCCAUGGGAUCAAACCAUCAGUUCCUCAGCAUACACAGAAAGAAGAGAGAAAUUAAAUGGUUGCAUUUCUCCCAAGGGAAGGCAGAUCUUCAGUGGUGAAGUAUUCCCAUCAGAAAUUCUGGGUUGCAUAAAAAGCAAUCUACAGACCAAAAAAUGUGGUAAAGUCCAUGACCAGAGAUGGGAAACACACCUCUAAAAAGAGAUGCUACAGAUCUGAAGAAAAAAAGUGUUCAAAGAAACUGGAAGGAAUGGCAGAAAGACACAGAAAUAUAUUUCUCACAACAGCACUCUUGCAAUUCUGCUGCCAAUGGAGAGAAAAUAGUUGAAGUAGAAAACCUCUGAGAGAUUUUCCUCCUGCAUCAUAAAAUAAAACUGUUUAUUACAAACUAUGGAAUGAGAAUGAUGAACAGUUAUGUGGGUGUUGCAGAAGUAAAGGGAGCAGAAGGAUGAGUUGACAAUGGACUUCUAUCUCAAGACUCCCUACUUUCUCAUACAAUAUAUACAGGAUGAUAACCUCAAUAAUUUCUCUGUUCCUUCCCAGGAUGUCUGAGCAUCUGUACAUCAUUCAAAGGAAUGCCUAUGAUCCACUGAAACGCCUCAAGAGGUAGGAACUCUAAGUAUACAUGUGGAAGGAAACUGCAACAGCUAAAACUGAAGUCACAGGAAGUAAAAGUUGGAAACUGAAGCUCCAUAUCACGAACACAAAACUUUAGCUAUUGAGAGCACCUUCACUCCUCAUUUAAUUUUUCCCUCGGUUGCACCACUUCAUUUGCCAUGAGGAGUAUCAAAAAACAUAACUGUGAAUGAUCACAGUCCUCUCUUUAUCCAACCUGAGGGCUGACUGUGCAGGCAGGCUGGCUGCCACAGAACUCAGGAAGCAACAGAACUGCAGGGGUUUUCUGCCUUUCAAGCAGGGAGUGUUCAAAGAGGUAGGCUAUCAAAUAAUGUCUUAAUGUCUUACCAAAAACAUAAGGUAAUGUUCAAAACCUGGCUGAAUGAAUACCACCUGAACAAUUAUAACAUCACCCUUUUUUUUUUUCAAUAUAAUGGCCUAGUUGCUCUAGGGACAUGGGUCGUUUAGAUAGAUUUUUUAAAAAUUAACUUCCCCUCCCUAGUCCUCCCCACCUUCCCCAAACAAAGAAUGCUGUGUGAGUACACACAUGCGAGAAAUCAAAAGCCAACUUAGACAGUUUGAGAAUCCCAAGGAAUGCCACUUGACUAGAUACAGAUAAUUGAUCAUUCAUAAUAAGAUAAGGACACAGCAUGUAAUAUUUUUCUGUUAAUGAGACUUCAGAGAAUGCAUGAAGAAACUAUUUAGAAUGACUGAAUUGCACAAAUACAUUAGCAGAUGUAGAAAAUAAUGUGUAAAUUUAAGAAAAAAGGGAAUUACAUGCUUUCAUUCUAACUUAAUGGAAAUGCAAAUGAUAAGACAAUGCUUAAAGAGAAAGAAAGGUAUACAGCAGUGUUGGGAAAGAACAUUAAAGAGAUAAAAGAGCUGCUAAUGAAGGACUUUGUAGAUCCUUGAAACUAAGACAGUUACACAACCAUUAUUGUUGAGGCCAAAAAGACGGUAACAAGCAAUAAAUAACAUAGAUUGUGCCAAUGACAGUAAAUAAGAUGGAAUGUAGAACGUGAUAGAACAGACUGGGCCCAUUUCAAAACAACAACAACAACAGGAGAGGAGCUCAGUGGCUAAGGAGAAGGCAAUGACACACAACAUUGCUAUUGCUUUCACAUUGCUUUCUUGGUGCUUUUCCAUCAAGAUGGAAAUGAUUAUUUAAUGCACAUAUAAAAUGGAAAUUAUCUGCAAAAUUUA